GAGACUGAGCCAGAGGCCCUGUGGAGCUCUUCCGAGUUCCUGACCCCAGGAAACCAUGAGGCUCGGCAGCGAGAGGCCUCAGACAGUUCAGAGGGAGCCAAUGGAAUGAACAGGAUGCUGGGUCCGAUGCAGCAAGAAAGCCUCCAGAUGCUGGUGUUGUGCCAUGAGACUUUCCACCCUCCAGAACGGCCAUGAGAAGAUGCUUUCAUUCCAGAGGCCUCAGGCUUCCAGAAACUUCCCCAGCCCCUGGUGCCAUGGGGGUCACUACCUCUGGAGAGUGAUCAGGUCACCCUUUGGGCAUCAUACUUGACACCGCUACUUCCAGCACACAGUGAGUAUAGACCAGAUGAUCAGCUGACCAACAAAGCUUCAAGUUUUCCUUACAUGAUGUGGUGGUGGUGUUGAGAAGUACCUUCCCCAAGGAACAACAUUUCCCAGCAUCCCUUGCUAAUCAUGUGACCAGUAUUUACCAAUGCAUUGUGAGCCCAAAGGUGCCCAGCCCUGUCAGUAUGGUGUGUUAAGUAGCAAGCAAGAUAUCUUCUCUUUUUCCCAGUCUGUUCUUUGGAUGACACCAGGAUGACCUUCAAGUCACAAGAUGGUGGGGGAACCCUAAGACAGAAGAGACUAAUGUCUUAGAGCAGCCAUUGGAGGAAAGCUACCCAGGAGAGCCACGGGUCAGGAACGUGGACAUUCAACUGUGUGUGAGGGAGAAACAUACAUCAACGUUUAAAUAUACAAAAGAAGUAGAGAGCAUAAUAUAAUAACUCAGUUUAGCCAUCCGUCAUUUAACUUCAAAAAAUUAUCACCUUUUCC